rnacentral:rRNA from 1 species
GACGAACGCUGGCGGCGUGCUUAACACAUGCCAGUCGAACGGAAAGGCCCUGCUUUUGUGGGGUGCUCGAGUGGCGAACGGGUGAGUAACACGUGAGUAACCUGCCCUUGACUUUGGGAUAACUUCAGGAAACUGGGGCUAAUACCGGAUAGGAGCUCCUGCUGCAUGGUGGGGGUUGGAAAGUUUCGGCGGUUGGGGAUGGACUCGCGGCUUAUCAGCUUGUUGGUGGGGUAGUGGCUUACCAAGGCUUUGACGGGUAGCCGGCCUGAGAGGGUGACCGGCCACAUUGGGACUGAGAUACGGCGCAGACGCCUACGGGAGGCAGCAGUGAGGAAUAUUGCACAAUGGGCGGAAGCCUGAUGCAGCAACGCCGCGUGCGGGAUGACGGCCUUCGGGUUGUAAACCGCUUUCGCCUGUGACGAAGCGUGAGUGACGGUAAUGGGUAAAGAAGCACCGGCUAACUACGUG